rnacentral:ncRNA from 1 species
AAAACGCACCGGGGGUGCCUGUGCCUGCUUCAGUCCUGGCCUUUUUUUGCUGGGAAAUGGGCAGGGCUGGCUGAGAAAGUCCCUUCGAACCUGAACAGGAUAAUGCCUGCGUAGGGAGUGUGCAUUUCCGUUUCU